rnacentral:lncRNA from 1 species
GUUUUGGACAAUUGUUUUAACUUCACUCUCCUCGUCACCAAUCGAAGUGGAAGGUCAGGACAUUGGAGACACUAUAAAGGUAUGCGUAAGAAUUGAGUGCGCGUAGUCUAACUACAACAAUCAGCGGUUGAACAAGAGCAGAUGGAUUAAAAAGAAGUGGUGGUCUAACUAGAACAAGUGGCAGUCUGACAAGAAUAGACUGUUUCUUCAUGCCUCAUUUACAAGGUUUAUCGUCAUUCAUCAUCAACAAGGUUUAUCAUCGUUCGUCAUUUACAAGGACUCUUCAUCGCUCAAUUAUCUACAAGGACUUACAACGCCAAUUGUUAUUCCACCUAAGUAACUUAUCAUCUCCAAUUGUGGAUGCCUAUAUAUAUAUAUAUAUAUAUAUAUAUAUACAAAAGGUAUUUCCUCUUUCAAAUUGUCAGGAUAUGUUUGUAAAAAC